rnacentral:lncRNA from 1 species
AUGACUAAUAGAGGAGUGAACAAGGCUAAUCCACAAACUCGUUCUGCAAUUAAGGGAACCAGCUUUGCCACCACUGUAGCCCCUGCGAUAAACAGAACUCAGCCUGGAACUAAAGGAAAAGAGCAUAUCGAGUCUGCUAGGAGGACAUGCAUCUGUUGUGGAGAAGGACAUGCUUUGAAUUCGUGUCCACAGUUGGGGAAGAAGACACACAAAGAGAAGAUAGGCUUCUUAAGAGAGAAGAGUGUCUGUUUUGGCUGUUUGUGUAUUGGACACAUCAGCAAAGUUUGCAGAAAACGGAUUACCUGUACAAAGUGUGGUCUCAAACAUCCAACUGUUCUUCACAUUCCUCAAAAAGAAAAGGACAAAGACUCAGACCAAGCUGAGAGGAAAUCAGAGGUGUCCGUCGACAGCGCUCUGAUGUCAAGUGAGCUUACAGGGGCUGGUGAUCACGACUGCAAACUUCCUAUAGUUCCAGUGCAAGUUAAGUCCAAGAAGGGCAGUAAGAUUGUCACUACCUAUGCUUUCUUGGACCCAGGAAGUACUGCAGUAUUCUGUACAGAAGCUUUAAGAGAAAAACUCAAUAUUGCAGGAAAGAAAGUCCACAUUCUCCUACGGACGAUGGGCCAAGAGAAAGUGGUGAGCAGCCACAUGGUGCCAGGACUGGAAGUGGCUGGCUUGACUGGGGAGCAUUUCUGUGAGCUGCCCAAGGCUUACACUCAAGCACACAUGCCUGUUCACAAGGGAAACAUUCCAAAACAGAGUGAUAUUCAGAAAUGGCCUUAUUUGAAGCAUGUUCAUUUGCCUGAGAUUGAUGCAGGGAUUGAGCUGUUGAUUGGGACAAAUGUCGCUAAAGCCUUGGAACCCUUGCAAGUGAUUCGCAGUGUUGGAGAUGGACCCUAUGCAAUCAGGACAAUGCUGGGCUGGACGGUGAAUGGGCCGCUGAGAGAAGACAAUGAUGAUGCAGUGGACGGUGAGCAGCCAGAGUUAACAGUGAACAGAGUGUCAGUUGUGACUUUGGAUGAACUUUGGCAGCAGCAGUUUAAGACAGACUUCCCUGAAUGCAGCUUGGAGGAAGGGCCAGGCAUGUCAAGAGAAGAACAAAAGUUCAUGAAGCUGGUUGCAAAUUCAGCAAAGCAGGUCAGUGGUCAUUAUCAGAUCAACCUGCCAUUGAGGAAUAAGGACGUUAGUAUGCCAAAUAAUAGGAAAAUCAUUGAGCAGCGUGCCUUACACCUGAAGAAGAGGGUUCAGAAGGAUUCCUCAUUUCAUGCUGACUACAAGGCCUUCAUGAAAAUCUUGUUGUCAAAGGCUAUGCUGAAAGGGUGCCUGAAGAGGAUUUGGAACGUAGUGAUGGCAGGGUUUGGUACAUCCCGCACCAAGGUGUUUACCAUCCUACAAAGAAGAAGAUCAGGGUUGUUUUUGACUGUGGAGCAAGUUUCCAAGGAACAUCACUUAAUGCUCAACUCUUACAGGGCCCAGAUCUUA